rnacentral:rRNA from 1 species
GUACCAGACUCCUACGGGAGGCAGCAGUGGGGAAUAUUGGGCAAUGGGCGCAAGCCUGACCCAGCAACGCCGCGUGAAGGAAGAAGGCUUUCGGGUUGUAAACUUCUUUUAAGAGGGAAGAGCAGAAGACGGUACCUCUUGAAUAAGCAUCGGCUAACUCCGUGCCAGCAGCCGCGGUAAUACGGAGGAUGCGAGCGUUAUCCGGAUUUAUUGGGUUUAAAGGGUGCGUAGGUUGUUUUUUAAGUCAGCGGUGAAAGUUUGUGGCUCAACCAUAAAAUUGCCGUUGAAACUGGAAGACUUGAGUGUGUUUGAGGUAGGCGGAAUGCGUGGUGUAGCGGUGAAAUGCAUAGAUAUCACGCAGAACUCCGAUUGCGAAGGCAGCUUACUAAGCCAUAACUGACACUGAAGCACGAAAGCGUGGGGAUCAAACAGGAUUAGAUACCCUGGUA